rnacentral:rRNA from 1 species
GGACUACCGGGGUAUCUAAUCCUGUUUGAUCCCCACACUUUCGUGCAUCAGCGUCAGUUACAGCCCAGUAAGCUGCCUUCGCUAUCGGUGUUCUUGACGAUAUCUAUGCAUUUCACCGCUACACCGUCAAUUCCGCCUACCUCAUCUGUACUCAAGCUCCGCAGUAUCAAUGGCACCCCUCUAGUUAAGCUAGAGUAUUUCACCACUGACUUACAAAGCCGCCUACGCACCCUUUAAACCCAAUAAAUCCGGACAACGCUCGCCACCUACGUAUUACCGCGGCUGCUGGCAC